GGAAACUUUCCCGUCACUUUUUUGCCCAAAUCCUUGAAGCUCCAACCACUACCACCCUACAAUACUUACAUCAGUGGAUAUAGCUCCUCAAGACCUAGCUAUUGAUGCCAAUUUCACCCUGAAAAUCCGGCGACCAAAAUCCUGCCAAAUUCCGGCGACCUCCCCGAACAUCCUCUUUUGGCAUACCACCAUUUUUUCGGCCACUUGAAUUGUAAAAUGGUAAUCCUUUAAGACUCGUAACUUACGUAUUUUCAGCAAUGGGAACAACUUGAACAUACUGCACUAUUUAAAUGUGUUUGAUAUGAUGAAUAAUUUGACAACAAAAGAGCUUAUAUGUUAUUGUUAUGUAUCAAGCAUGUGAUAAUGUGAAUAUAGUCCUUCGUAAUACUUGAAUAUUGAGUUGUAAGUUUUUUGAAUGUGAUAUCUAAGUAUGCCAUGAUGACUUUAGAUGUAUAACACAUAACAUGAGUUCGUUUUAGUUGCUAAAAUUUCACUGCCAA